rnacentral:lncRNA from 1 species
CCGAGCUCAUUAGAAAGCUGUCCUCAUCAGGAGGUUGAAAUCAUCAAAAAUUAGACCUCAUCAGAAAGUCGAGCUCAUUAAAAGGCCGACUUCAUCAAAAAUUCGACCUCAUUAAGAGAACCAAAAAAUCGAUCUCCGAAUCGAGCUUAAGCUUCGAAAGAGCCAAAAAGAAAAGUCGAUUUUCGGAUCGACAGACAAUCUUCGGAUCGAGCUUAAGCACUGAAAGCAUCAAGAAGAAAAGUCGAUCUUCAGAUUGAGCUUAAGCACCGAAAGCGCC